CGGGUCGGCAUGGGGGCAGACCACUUUUAAUCCGUAGGUUGUGGGUUCGAGUCCCACGCGACCCACCCA
rnacentral:tRNA from 1 species